rnacentral:rRNA from 1 species
AGAGCGAACGCUGGCGGCAUGCUUAACACAUGCAAGUCGCACGGUUGGGGGCAACUUCCGGCAGUGGCGGACGGGUGAGUAACGCGUAGGGAUCUAUCCAUGGGUGGGGGACAACCGCGGGAAACCGCGGCUAAUACCGCAUGAUGCCUGAGGGCCAAAGCUCGCGAGAGCGCCUGGGGAGGAGCCUGCGUCCGAUUAGCUAGUUGGUGGGGUAACGGCCCACCAAGGCGUCGAUCGGUAGCUGGUCUGAGAGGAUGAUCAGCCACACUGGGACUGGGACACGGCCCAGACUCCUACGGGAGGCAGCAGUGGGGAAUCUUGCGCAAUGGCCGAAAGGCUGACGCAGCGACGCCGCGUGGGGGAGGAAGGCCUUCGGGUGUAAACCCCUGUUGCCCGGGACGAAUGUGCAUUUUGAGUGCAUUGACGGUACCGGGUGAGGAAGCACCGGCUAACUCCGCGCCGAGCAGCCGCGGUAA